rnacentral:tRNA from 1 species
GGGCCUGUAGCUCAAUUGGCUAGAGCGUUGCUAUGGCAUAGCAAAGGUUGUCGGUUCAAUCCCGAUCAGGUCCA